UUGCCGCCUGCCCUGCACGCGGUGCAGAGGCACGCAAUGCCUUCUGUUUUUAUACAGCAAAUAUGAGAAAAGUAUCUUUUAUUUCUCCAAGCUGAUGAUUUACAGAAUUUCACAGCAGUUUUGCAUUAGAGGACUGGACGCAUCUGUGCCACCUUCUCUUUCUCAGCACUGCUGGUCUUUUCUGCUCCUGUUCACCUGCUGUUAAGCUCACACGUCCUGAAUCCCUCGCAUGAAGGUGGAAGAAGGGACCUGAGCAGAAGAGUCCUACUUUCUCAGUUUUGCCAAAGAGAUCUCAGAUUAGAGCACUGGCAUUGCACGUGGUUUGGAAUGUUUCUUGAGCAUGAAAGGCCUGUGCACAGAAGCCCUAAGGAGUGGGCUAGGCAGAGCUCUUCUCCCAACUGGCUGAGACACAGCUGUUUGGUGUUAGGACAAACCCCUAGGAGAGAUGAAAGGUUCUAGGAGACUGCAAGCCCCCUGGCUGAUCUACAGCUCACACAUGUUGUUAAUUAAAGCAUCACUGAUUUCAUGCACCUGGCUGAGCUCUUUAGUGGAAGGCAGAAACUGGGAAGUUACUCUGUUUGUGUGGUGUUGUACUCCAGAACAAAAGCAGCAAAAUGGAGAUGAGACUAGAAGAAAACAAAUGUGUGAGCAGCAUAAGGUGAAUACGCAGACAAUUGUGUGGGGGAAAAUGGCGCGACGGAUGAAUGAUUGGAGGAGCAUAGCAGUGGGAGCUGAAAUACACGCCUACAGGAAAUACGUGCAUACCACAAAGACAAGUUUAACGCAUAGCCGCCCAGGUUAAGUGUAAGGAAUCUAGGUAUGGUGCAAGUCACAACGUAGUCACAACAGCCGAGGGUUCUGCUCGG
rnacentral:lncRNA from 1 species